UACAGAGGUCCCGAGCGUUGUUCGGAUUCAUUGGGCGUAAAGGGUGUGUAGGAGGUCGGGUAAGUCAAGUGUGAAAUCUCACCGCUCAACGGUGAAAUUGCGCUUGAUACUGCUUGGCUAGAGUAUUUGAGGGGGUAACGGAAUUCUUGGUGUAGCAGUGAAAUGCGUAGAUAUCAAGAGGAACACCAGUGGCGAAGGCGGUUACCUGGAAAAUUACUGACUCUGAAACACGAAAGCUAGGGGAGCAAAUGGG
rnacentral:rRNA from 1 species